AUUGAACGCUGGCGGCAGGCCUAACACAUGCAAGUCGAGCGAGCGGCGGACGGGUGAGUAAUGUAUGGGUACUUCCCGAUAGAGGGGGGUAACUACUAGAAACGGUGGCUAAUACCGCAUCAUAUCGGAUAACCCAUAUGGUAUUAGCUAGUAGGUGGGGUAAAGGCUCACCUAGGCGACGAUCUCUAGCUGGUCUGAGAGGUUGAUAAGACAGCUUGGGCCUGAGACGGGGCACAGAUUCAAACGGAGGGAGUAGGGGGGAGUAUUGCACAGAAGCAGAAGGUCAGAUAAAGCGAUGAAGCGUAUAUGAAGGAGGACUUAGGGUUGUAGAGGUCUUUCAGCGAAGAGGCGUUAGCAGCAGAGGAAGCACAGGCUAAAUCCGGGACAGCAGCCGCGGUAAUAC
rnacentral:rRNA from 1 species